rnacentral:lncRNA from 1 species
AUGGGGGCGCCCAGAGGAAACAGCGGCUCCGGCGACCUGAAUGAACAGCCCGGGGGAAACGGGGCUCCGGGGCGACGGAGGACGCCGGGCCCUAACGGGGCUGCCCCGGCCCAGGCCCCUCCCCGGACCCCGAUCAGAGCCCGGCCCAACCGUCGCUCCCCGCGUCCCCUCCCUAGGGCGCACGUGCCACUGGAAUCCCGUCCGCGCCGAGAAGAGAGGACACAGCGCGCAGACACACCCGGGUGCUUCCUCGGCACUGUCCCGGCUUUCGCUUCCGGUCUCGGGAAGAUAAGGAAGGACUUGGGAGCAAAGAUGCAGCCUAAUAGCCCUGCACUGGAGGCCGAGAUGGAGAAGAUCUCCACAGCCACCAUGACCUUGCCCUCGGUGCUGUGGUAGACGGGGAGGAAGGGCACCCAGACACUGCAGAACACCAGCAUGCUGAAUGUCAGGAACUUGGCUUCAUUGAAGGUGUCAGGCAGGUUAUGGGCCAGGUAAGCCAAGGAGAAGCUGCCCAGGGUCAAGGAGCCCAGGUAUCCCAGGACACAGUAGAAGGCGGUGACCAAGCCCUUGUUGCACACGAUGAUGAUGUGGCCUUGUUCAGAGUGCGCAUCUAUGUCAAUGAAGAGAGGAGAGGUCCCCAGCCAGACUCCACAGAGACUCAGUUGGAUAAAGGAGCAGAUAGGAAUGAUGAAGUUAGGUGCCCCUGACACCGACUGCUGCCUCAUCCUUCACCCUGGAGCAGUGACCUUUGUCAACGAAAAUAAUCCAUAACCAAUCUAUAAAUGAAAAUUUGGGUGAGUUUAUUCUGAGCUUAAAUUUUAGGAUUAUAUCCUGGGAGAGUCUUUCCACAAAGGAACAGAGCAGUCCAAAGAAGUGGGGGUAUAAGGGUGGUUAUAUACCCUCAAAGAGUAUGUUUCACAUAUGAUUGAAAUGUCCCUUUUACAAUAGUCAUGAGGCUGCUCUGUCAGCACAGUGAUUGAUGGAAAUGGCAGAUAGGUCUGCUGUCUCAGUGAACGCUGCGGGGUGGCAGGUGUGUUCCCUUGGGCUGGCGGGGGGGGGGGGGGGGGGGGGGGCCCAAAAGANNNNNNNNNNNNNNNNNNNNAACUCUUAAUGGGGAAAGGCAAGAACUUAAUUUGGUUGCUGUCUGGCAAUCUCAUAUAACUGAUUUAGGGUGGUGGCUUCUAACCUUUCUAACCUUUACUUAAUCCGAUUUGAUUCUGUCUAAAAGUCAUGGGAUCACCCAAUGACCAGACCCCUCCAGCACUGAUGCCAUUUUAACUUUUUUCAUAUUCUAUCCUUUGUCUUGUAAAGAGAUAACUCACAUACCUAUGCCUUAAAUUUAGCUCUAACCCUCAACUUGGGGAAGCAGAAGCUCUGACUGCCCAUGGGUCCUGUCCCCAUGCUACACUAUUCUCUAAAUAAAAGAGCACUACUGCCAGAUCUUGAGAGUCCA